rnacentral:rRNA from 1 species
AUCGAACGCUGGCGGAAUGCUUUACACAUGCAAGUCGAACGGCAGCAUAGGUGCUAGCACCUGAUGGCGAGUGGCGAACGGGUGAGUAAUAUAUCGGAACGUGCCCAGUCGUGGGGGAUAACGUAGUGAAAAUUACGCUAAUACCGCAUACGAUCUAAGGAUGAAAGCGGGGGAUCGCAAGACCUCGCGCGAUUGGAGCGGCCGAUAUCAGAUUAGGUAGUUGGUGAGGUAAAGGCUCACCAAGCCAACGAUCUGUAGCUGGUCUGAGAGGACGACCAGCCACACUGGAACUGAGACACGGUCCAGACUCCUACGGGAGGCAGCAGUGGGGAAUUUUGGACAAUGGACGCAAGUCUGAUCCAGCCAUUCCGCGUGCAGGACGAAGGCCUUCGGGUUGUAAACUGCUUUUGUACAGAACGAAAAGGUCUCUAUUAAUACUAGGGGCUCAUGACGGUACUGUAAGAAUAAGCACCGGCCAACUACGUGCCAGCCGCCGCCGUAA